AACUUUCAACAACGGAUCUCUUGGUUCUGGCAUCGAUGAAGAACGCAGCGAAAUGCGAUAAGUAAUGUGAAUUGCAGAAUUCAGUGAAUCAUCGAAUCUUUGAACGCACAUUGCGCCCCCUGGUAUUCCGGGGGGCAUGCCUGUUCGAGCGUCAUUAC
rnacentral:rRNA from 1 species